rnacentral:rRNA from 1 species
UACGUAGGGUCCAAGCGUUGUCCGGAUUUAUUGGGCGUAAAGAGCUCGUAGGCGGUUCGGUAAGUCGGAUGUGAAAACUCAGGGCUCAACCCGGAGACGCCAUCCGAUACUGCUGUGACUUGAGUCUGGUAGGGGAACACGGAAUUCCUGGUGUAGCGGUGAAAUGCGCAGAUAUCAAGAGGAACACCGAUGGCGAAGGCGGGUCUCUGGGCCGAUACUGACGCUGAGGAGCGAAAGCGUGGGGAGCGAACAGG